rnacentral:rRNA from 1 species
GUUUCAGCAGCCGCGGUAAGACAGAGGGGGCAAGCGUUGCUCGGAAUCACUGGGCGUAAAGGGCGCGUAGGCGGGAUGGCAAGUCGGUCGUGAAAUCUCUCGGCUCAACCGAGAGGGGUCGGCCGAUACUGCCUUUCUUGAGGGAUGCAGAGGAGACUGGAAUUCCCGGUGUAGCGGUGAAAUGUGUAGAGAUCGGGAGGAACACCGGUGGCGAAGGCGGGUCUCUGGGCAUCUCCUGACGCUGAGGCGCGAAAGCGUGGGGAGCAAACGGGAUUAGAAACCCCCGUAGUCC